rnacentral:rRNA from 1 species
UACGUAGGGUGCAAGCGUUGUCCGGAAUUACUGGGCGUAAAGCGCGUGUAGGCGGAUGGGCAAGUCUGCUGUGAAAGCUCCUGGCUUAACCGGGAGUGGUCGGUGGAAACUGCCAAUCUGGAGGACGGUAGAGGUAGGUAGAAUUCCACGUGUAGCAGUGAAAUGCGUAGAGAUGUGGAGGAACACCGGUGGCGAAGGCGGCCACCUGGACGGUAACUGACGCUGAGACGCGAAAGCGUGGGGAGCAAACAGG